AUGACCUCGGAUCAGGUAGGGAUACCCGCUGAACUUAAGCAUAUCAAUAAGCGGAGGAAAAGAAACCAACAGGGAUUACCUCAGUAACGGCGAGUGAAGCGGUAACAGCUCAAAUUUGAAAUCUGGCUCCUCGGGGCCCGAAUUGUAAUUUGUAGAAGAUGCUUUGGGUCUGGGCCUGGCCUAAGUUCCUUGGAACAGGACGUCGUAGAGGGUGAGAAUCCCGUAUGCGGCUGGCGCCCGUGCCCGUGUAAAGCUCUUUCAACGAGUCGAGUUGUUUGGGAAUGCAGCUCUAAAUGGGUGGUAAAUUUCAUCUAAAGCUAAAUAUUGGCCAGAGACCGAUAGCGCACAAGUAGAGUGAUCGAAAGAUGAAAAGCACUUUGGAAAGAGAGUUAAACAGUACGUGAAAUUGUUGAAAGGGAAGCGCUGGCAACCAGACUUGGGCGCUGUUGAUCCGCUAGGGUUCUCUCUAGGGCACUCGGCAGUGCGCAGGCCAGCAUCGGUUUGGGGGGUUGGAGAAUGGCUGGUGGAAUGUGGCUGUCUUUGGGCAGUGUUAUAGCCACCGGUGGCAUGCAGCCUCCCCGGACCGAGGACCGCGCUUCGGCUAGGAUGCUGGCGUAAUGGUUGUCAGCGACCCGUCUUGAAACACGGACCAAGGAGUCUAACAUCUAUGCGAGUGUUUGGGUGUUAAACCCAUACGCGGAAUGAAAGUGAACGUAGGUGAGAACCCGCAAGGGUGCAUCAUCGACCGAUCCUGAU
rnacentral:rRNA from 1 species